UUUUCCGGGUGUCGAUGGGUCCGACCCAUCGAGUUAGGUGCUGAUUGGUAAGCGAAAAGGGGUGUGCCAAGAUUUCCUCUCACCUGAUUGGUUGGAGCAGAAAGUCUCUCGCUGCUUCUCCGCCUCGGGCAGAAUCAGCGCUGCUGAUUCUUGUAUUGGGGUCGCCGGGUUUGGUCUGCAUUCUGUUGGAUUCGUGCUUAGGGUGCACCGCGAAGGGGCCGGAAAGGAAAACUUGGGCUACCGCUGAGGGAGCCUCAAGUCCGGGAGUUCGCCGAAAGCGAGGAAGGCGGCCACACACGAAGAUGUCAUUUCCAGCAUCAGUGAGAACUAUUUGUGUUAACACUAAAAGAGAAGAUAUAAGUGGUCCAUCUUAUCAAGGAAAAAGUUCUUCAAGCUGAGAGACCUGACAUAGCAAAUGACCUUUUUGGUAUUCAAGAAGAAAUGACUGAAGGAAAAGAAAAUGGCUGUCUUCAAAUACCUGGGGGAAAAAAUUUGCUGCUGGAGAGGGGUGGACUUGUUCUGUCCUACUUCCUAUGAGGGACGAUUAGAAGAGCGGAAGCCACAUGGAGACUGAUUUCAGCUCAGGAGGAGGGACAACUUUCUACUAGUUCCAGCCAUCUAAAAUGGAAUGGUCCGCUUCAUGGGGGUAAAGUGUUUCUGCACACUGGAGGCGUUUUUUGAAAUAUUUAAUUUACUUUUUUUGAACAGGUAGUAAUGCAACAGGAUGGAAUUCAAACCUAUAUAGUAUGAGAGUUAGUCUCCUUCUUACCCCUGUUUCCCAGACAUUCCUUUUCUCCUGAAGAGGCAGUCUCUCUUACCUGGUAUUUGACCAAAGGCCGGACAACUGUCUGUGGAGAAUACUGUAAAUGGGCCAUGGUUUCUGGCAUUGAGCAAGAUGAUCUCUGAGAAUUUUCCAUCUCUUGGAAGAUGGAAGUGCCCCCUUUACAUUUCCAGCUCAUAAUCCUUAAAGUUGUGUCACAAAAUUGAGUUUGAACCUGUAAAAUACACAUUCACUGCUCAAGGACUGGGUGGAGGAUUCAGGACCUGACAGCGGGGUUACUAUAACAGCUCUGAGCCACCCUCAUAGCAACAGACAGAUUCCAACACGUGACAAAAGAAGUAUCAGAGGGAAAUGGACUGUAGACCCCAUGCCAGGCUUGUGGGAACCCCUUUGCCAAAUGUAGUCCUUCCCCCAUUUGAAACUGAAGAGAACAAAACUACAGGGAGAUUGGGUAAGGGGCAAGUUUUAGAGGAAGGGGUUGGGGGUGGGGCAGGAAGAAGACAGGCUGUGGAUAGAGAGGAAUGGCAGGGUCAUGGUGCCGUCAGACACUUUUGGGGGUCCUCACAUUGGUGACCUGGGCAGUGGCCUUUCCUGUCAUUGGAAAACCUCAAGUACUCCUCUUGGCCUUUCUUUCUGGCUGUCUCCUGCCUUCUCCAGUUUCUCAGAUGCCUCUACAGUCUGUUGUCAGAGUACCUAGAAAGUACAGUUUCAUCUGCUGACACACGGGCUGCCCAUGACCACAGGCAUGGAAUCUCUUUUCAUGUACUUGGAAAAUUCUUUUUUUUUUUUUUAAAGAUUUUAUUUAUUCAU